rnacentral:rRNA from 1 species
AACGAACGCUGGCGGCAGGCUUAACACAUGCAAGUCGAGCGCAUCCUUCGGGGUGAGCGGCGGACGGGUGAGUAACGCGUGGGAACGUGCCCUCUUCUACGGAAUAGCCCAGGGAAACUUGGAUUAAUGCCGUAUACGCCCGAAAGGGGAAAGAUUUAUCGGAGGAGGAUCGGCCCGCGUUGGAUUAGGUAGUUGGUGGGGUAAUGGCCUACCAAGCCGACGAUCCAUAGCUGGUUUGAGAGGAUGAUCAGCCACACUGGGACUGAGACACGGCCCAGACUCCUACGGGAGGCAGCAGUGGGGAAUCUUGGACAAUGGGGGAAACCCUGAUCCAGCCAUGCCGCGUGAUCGAUGAAGGCCUUAGGGUUGUAAAGCUCUUUCAGAUGGGAAGAUAAUGACGGUACCAUCAGAAGAAGCCCCGGCUAACUCCGUGCCAGCAGCCGCGGUAAGGCACGACUGU